rnacentral:rRNA from 1 species
GACGAACGCUGGCGGCGUGCUUAACACAUGCAAGUCGAACGGUAAGGCCCUUUCGGGGGUACACGAGUGGCGAACGGGUGAGUAACACGUGGGUGAUCUGCCCUGCACUUUGGGAUAAGCCUGGGAAACUGGGUCUAAUACCGGAUAGGACUACGCGAUGCAUGUCGUGUGGUGGAAAGCUUUUGCGGUGUGGGAUGGGCCCGCGGCCUAUCAGCUUGUUGGUGGGGUGAUGGCCUACCAAGGCGACGACGGGUAGCCGGCCUGAGAGGGUGUCCGGCCAGACUGGGACUGAGAUACGGCCCCGACUCCUACGGGAGGGAGCAGUGGGGAAUAUUGCAAAAUGGGCGCAAGCCUGAUGCAGCGACGCCGCGUGGGGGAUGACGGCCUUCGGGUUGUAAACCCCUUUCAGCACAGACGAAGCGUAAGUGACGGUAUGUGCAGAAGAAGCACCGGCCAACUACGUG